GUUGGAACUGUUAUUUUACACUAAACAGUUUUAAAAAAUUGUACUUUGUUUUUAAUAUGUGACCUUGAUAUUAUUUAUUCAUCUGCAUAUAAAAUAGUGAUUUUUAAAACAGAUGACUAACCUCCGGUCAUGAGAAAAUCUGAUUUAUUCUUCGGUUAUCUUCAUCACUAGAGGGAACAGCAGUUAUGUAACUAAUCAAAAACCAUGUGAUAUUCAGGUGUGUUGUGAUUAAUUCAAAUUUUUAGUUUCCUUUUAUUUUCCCCUCAGUGUUUUAAAACCAAAAUAUGUGGAUUUCCUAAAAGAACGGACUGACAUUUACUUUUUUAUUAGGUUAGUUAUUCUUUGAGAAGAGAUUUUGAGCCCAAGAAACUUAGGUAGAGUAGAAGAGGCCAGAGUUUUACGAAUCUAGGAAUUUGUGCGGAGAUAUGCACAGGUCUAGAAGCCAAGAGUGAAUCAAGCAGUUUCAUUUAUAAGCAUACCAACUUCUGGAGGUGAACAUUUGAGCUGCUUACUAGUACGUUUUUUUUUCUGGAAAACCCCCAGAGAAAUGCUGAGAUACUGAAUACUAUAUGAACCUCUUUGGUGAGAGUUGCAUACUUUAUUUUUGUAAAUAAUACUAAUACCUUUGUGGUCUUUCUGUCAAAAGCCAUACUUUUUUCUUGGAGUGGGUUUUCACUUUAAUAUAGGUAAUGGAAUAAUAUAUAGAGUAAUAUAGAUAUGUGAAAAAUUCAUAUUCAUGGCAUCAUACCCAUUCUCA
rnacentral:lncRNA from 1 species